rnacentral:rRNA from 1 species
UCUUGGUCAUUUAGAGGAAGUAAAAGUCGUAACAAGGUUUCCGUAGGUGAACCUGCGGAAGGAUCAUUACUGUGAUUAUACCAACACCACACUGUGUGGGCGCACAAAACACCUAAACCUGGAGUAUACACACGUCAACAAAAGAUCUAAAAGAAUAAAACUUUCAACAACGGAUCUCUUGGUUCUCGCAUCGAUGAAGAGCGCAGCGAAAUGCGAUACCUAGUGUGAAUUGCAGCCAUCGUGAAUCAUCGAGUUCUUGAACGCACAUUGCGCCCGUCGGUAUUCCGGCGGGCAUGCCUGUCUGAGCGUCGUUUCCUUCUUGUGCACCGGGGGUCUUUGCUGAUCUUCUGUGCGCAGAGCUGGCCGUGCCACUGGCCCGGCCGAAAAGAAACGUUGCGGACGAAGCGAACUACAUCGGGACGCUUUGGCCGCCGAGCGAAAAAACACCAUUGAGCUCGACCUCAGAUCAGGUAGGAGUACCCGCUGAACUUAAGCAUAUCAAUAAGCGGAGGAAGA